rnacentral:tRNA from 1 species
GCCUCGAUAGCUCAGUCGGUAGAGCAGAGGAUUGAAAAUCCUCGUGUCGGUGGUUCGAUUCCACCAUUAUUUGGUGCG